rnacentral:rRNA from 1 species
UAGGGAAUCUUCGGCAAUGGACGGAAGUCUGACCGAGCAACGCCGCGUGAGUGAAGAAGGUUUUCGGAUCGUAAAGCUCUGUUGUUAGAGAAGAACGUUGGUAGGAGUGGAAAAUCUACCAAGUGACGGUAACUAACCAGAAAGGGACGGCUAACUACGUGCCAGCAGCCGCGGUAAUACGUAGGUCCCGAGCGUUGUCCGGAUUUAUUGGGCGUAAAGCGAGCGCAGGCGGUUCUUUAAGUCUGAAGUUAAAGGCAGUGGCUUAACCAUUGUACGCUUUGGAAACUGGAGGACUUGAGUGCAGAAGGCGAGAGUGGAAUUCCAUGUGUAGCGGUGAAAUGCGUAGAUAUAUGGAGGAACACCGGUGGCGAAAGCGGCUCUCUGGUCUGUAACUGACGCUGAGGCUCGAAAGCGUGGGGAGCAAACAGG